rnacentral:rRNA from 1 species
UGGCGGACGGGUGAGUAACGCGUGGGCGACCUGCCUUACACAGGGGGACAACAGCCGGAAACGGCUGCUAAUACCGCAUAAGCGCACAGUUUCGCAUGGAACAGUGUGAAAAACUCCGGUGGUGUAAGAUGGGCCCGCGUCUGAUUAGCUUGUUGGCGGGGUAACGGCCCACCAAGGCGACGAUCAGUAGCCGACCUGAGAGGGUGACCGGCCACAUUGGGACUGAGACACGGCCCAAACUCCUACGGAAGGCAGCAG